rnacentral:misc_RNA from 1 species
GAUGAAGAACGUAGCAAAAUGCGAUAAGUAAUGUGAAUUGCAGAAUUCAGUGAAUCAUCGAAUCUUUGAACGCACAUUGCGCCCGCUGGUAUUCCGGCGGGCAUGCCUGUUCGAGCGUCAUUUCAACCCUCAAGCCCCCGGGUUUGGUGUUGGGGAUCGGCUCUGCCCUUCUGGGCGGUGCCGCCCCCGAAAUACAUUGGCGGUCUCGCUGCAGCCUCCAUUGCGUAGUAGCUAACACCUCGCAACUGGAACGCGGCGCGGCCAUGCCGUAAAACCCCAACUUCUGAAUGUUGACCUCCGAUCAGGUAGGAAUACCCGCUGAACUUAAGCAUAUCAAUAAGCGGAGGA